UGCAACCUGCUCUUCAGCAACCUUCAAAUGAGUCACAAAUGGCUUUACCAAUCCUGAAGCAAGCUUCUCCAUAUGUCCAUUACUUGACACAAACAAUUCACAACGUGAACGCUUUGGAGACAGUUGAAACUCAGCAUAGUCAAGAGGCGUUUCAGAUUUCAUUUUUGUUCUCUACAAUAUUUAUACUAUGUCUUGUUCUCUAACCUCCUCAUAUAGCCAGAUGUUCUCCCCUAUGCAUAACCCAAGAUCCUCCUAUUCUUUGAUUAAUCAAGUCUCAUAACUGGCAGAACUUUAAUACAGAAAACCUACAAUGCAAAUUUUCUGAGGAAAAGUAAAAGAAUUACCAAUUUGGCAAUUGAAUGAAGAUGAUUAAAAUGUCAGUUAAACUCCAAAUAUGCAAAUCAACGAGGAAACCAAUACUUAUCCACUUUGCAAAUCCAAGUGAGAGUAAGCAGAAAAUGAAUAAUUAUGGGAGUAAUUAUAUAAUGGUCGAAAUCUACUAGUUCUUCCACCCAAAAACUUCCCAAAAAAAUAGCCACUAAUCUUAAUCUUAAGACCUAACUCAAUAACAAAAAUGCAUCGGAACUUGACUGCAACUCGAAAAAAGAAACCAGUACUUUAUAAGGAGUAACCAAAAGAAUCACAGAUCUGAUUCCAUCAAAUUCCAACCCCAAAUGCCCAACUAAACCAAACCCAAUAACAAAACACUCAUAAAACCAAAUUCAAAUGCCAAACCAAACAAAACCCAUUCACAUAGACACAGAGUAGUACUUGCCUACAGCCGACAGUAGAAUGUACCAAAAUUGCUAUGAAGAAUCCAAAAACCCAAAUCAUUUAAACCCACAAUUUAAGAGAAAUGCAGGUUAGAUCAUACCUGUGAGAGCAAUUAGUAAGAUCUCGGAUUGGUGAACA
rnacentral:misc_RNA from 1 species